rnacentral:rRNA from 1 species
UACAGGGGGUGCAAACGUUGCUCGGAAUUAUUGGGCGUAAAGCGCGCGUAGGCGGCCACUUAAGUCGGAUGUGAAAGCCCCUGGCUCAACUGGGGAAGUGCACCCGAAACUGAAUGGCUUGAAUACAAAAGAGGGUCGCGGAAUUCCCGGUGUAGAGGUGAAAUUCGUAGAUAUCGGGAGGAACACCGGUGGCGAAGGCGGCGACCUGGGUCGACACUGACGCUGAGGCGCGAAAGCGUGGGGAGCAAACAGG